rnacentral:rRNA from 1 species
UACGUAGGGUGCGAGCGUUGUCCGGAAUUAUUGGGCGUAAAGGGCUCGUAGGCGGUCUGUCACGUCGGGAGUGAAAACCCAGGGCUCAACCCUGGGCCUGCUUCCGAUACGGGCAGACUAGAGGUAUGCAGGGGAGAACGGAAUUCCUGGUGUAGCGGUGAAAUGCGCAGAUAUCAGGAGGAACACCGGUGGCGAAGGCGGGAUCUCUGGGCCGUAACUGACUACUGAGGAGCGAAAGCAUGGGGAGCGAACAG